rnacentral:rRNA from 1 species
AUUGAACGCUGGCGGCAUGCCUUACACAUGCAAGUCGAACGGCAGCACGGGGCAACCUGGUGGCGAGUGGCGAACGGGUGAGUAAUGCAUCGGAACGUACCUUUCAGUGGGGGAUAACGUAGCGAAAGUUACGCUAAUACCGCAUAUUCUGUGAGCAGGAAAGCAGGGGAUCGCAAGACCUUGCGCUGAUUGAGCGGCCGAUGUCAGAUUAGCUAGUUGGUGAGGUAAAGGCUCACCAAGGCGACGAUCUGUAGCGGGGCUGAGAGGAGGAUCCGCCCCACUGGAACUGAGACACGGUCCAGACUCCUACGGGAGGCAGCAGUGGGGAAUUUUGGACAAUGGGGGCAGCCCUGAUCCAGCCAUGCCGCGUGAGUGAAGAAGGCCUUCGGGUUGUAAAGCUCUUUCGGCCGGGAAGAAAUCGCACGGGCUAAUACCCUGUGUGGAUGACGGUACCGGAAUAAGAAGCACCGGCUAACUACGUGCCAGCCGCCGCGGUAAUAC